GGUCGAAUGGUCUAGUGGUUAUGAUUCUCGCUUCACACGAGUGCGCGAGAGGUCCCGGGUUCGACCCCCGGUUCGACCU